rnacentral:rRNA from 1 species
AUUGAACGCUGGCGGCAUGCUUUACACAUGCCAGUCGAACGGCAGCGCGGGCUUCGCCCUGGCGGCGAGUGGCGAACGGGUGAGUAAUGCAUCGGAACGUGCCCAGUAGUGGGGGAUAGCCCGGCGAAAGCCGGAUUAAUACCCCAUACGACCUGAGGGUGAAAGCGGGGGACCGAAAGGCCUCCCGCUCUUGGAGCGGCCGAUGUCGGAUUAGCUAGUUGGUGGGGUAAAGGCUUACCAAGGCGACGAUCCGUAGCUGGUCUGAGAGGACGACCAGCCACACUGGGACUGAGACACGGCCCAGACUCCUACGGGAGGCAGCAGUGGGGAAUUUUGGACAAUGGGGGCAACCCUGAUCCAGCCAUGCCGCGUGCGGGAAGAAGGCCUUCGGGUUGUAAACCGCUUUUGUUCGGGAAGAAAUCCUCUGGGUUAAUACCCCGGGGGGAUGACGGUACCGGAAGAAUAAGCACCGGCUAACUACGUG